UACGAGGGGGGCAAAUGUUGUUCGGAAUCACUGGGCGUAAAGGGAGCGUAGGCGGGUUUCUAAGUCAGGUGUUUAAUCCCGGGGCCCAACCCCGGACAGGCACUUGAAACUGGGAAUCUUGAAUAGUGGAGAGGUCAGUGGAAUUGGGGGUGUAGCGGUGGAAUGCGUAGAGAUCCCCAAGAACACCAGUUGCGAAGGCGGCUCACUGGACUGGUAUUGACGCUGAGGUGCGAAAGCGUGGGGAGCAAACAGG
rnacentral:rRNA from 1 species